rnacentral:rRNA from 1 species
CCUACGGGUGGCUGCAGUGGGGAAUAUUGGACAAUGGGGGGAACCCUGAUCCAGCCAUGCCGCGUGUGUGAAGAAGGCCCUCGGGUUGUAAAGCACUUUCAGUGAGGAAGAACGCCUGGUGGUUAAUACCCAUCAGGAAAGACAUCACUCACAGAAGAAGCACCGGCUAACUCCGUGCCAGCAGCCGCGGUAAUACGGAGGGUGCGAGCGUUAAUCGGAAUUACUGGGCGUAAAGCGCGCGUAGGUGGCUUGAUAAGCCGGUUGUGAAAGCCCCGGGCUCAACCUGGGAACGGCAUCCGGAACUGUCAAGCUAGAGUGCAGGAGAGGAAGGUAGAAUUCCCGGUGUAGCGGUGAAAUGCGUAGAGAUCGGGAGGAAUACUAGUGGCGAAGGCGGCCUUCUGGACUGACACUGACACUGAGGUGCGAAAGCGUGGGUAGCAAACAGGAUUAGAUACCCUUGUAGUC